GAAAUGCGAUACGUAAUGUGAAUUGCAGAAUUCAGUGAAUCAUCGAAUCUUUGAACGCACCUUGCGCCCCUUGGCAUUCCGAGGGGCACACCCGUUUGAGUGUCGUGAAAUCCUCAAAACCUUUGCUCUUUGAUUGGGGAAAGGGUUUUGGACUUGGAGGRUCAAUGCUCGCCCUUACUUUUUGAAGGCGAGCUCCUCUCAAAUAAAUUAGUGGGGGUUUGCUUUGCUGAUCCUUGACGGUGAUAAGACAUUUCUACGUUUUGGAUUUGGUGACCGUCCCUUGCUUCUAACCGUCCUAUGGACAAUGAUGGGUGCACCGGUCACCACCUUAUAUCGGUGGGAGGCUGGACCCACAAAAAGGAUCUUGACCUCAAAUCGGGUGAGACUACCCGCUGAACUUAA
rnacentral:rRNA from 1 species